GGGGGUUGGCGCGGAAGACAGGACCCUCAGCCUCGAGGGAGCCCCUAGGUGACCAGGCAAAAUGGCAGUUCCUUCCAGCUGGUCCUCAGAUGGGCACAUCUAUUAGUAAGUUUCAUUUCUGUAUUUGGAUCUUUAUUCAUCCUUAUUAUGAAUUCCCCAAUACUGAGGUUUCUAGGAACCUACCUGCCAUUGGCUGAAGGGUUGCUUCUGAAUUCUUUCCCAGAGGCAGUGACAAAAAUCAAACAUCCGAUGUGUUCUUUACCUUUCAGUAAGCUCAGCCUCCCUGCUUGUGUCACAUCUCUAAACAUACGUACAUGCGUGAUUGAAACUGUCUAUUGAAAGCAAUAUUACAUUAACAUUAUCAAUACUGAAUUAGAGAAAAUAUCUAUCAAUGUCACCAAUUCCACCUGUCUCUUGAUGUAUGACUUUUUACCUGACAGGCUAAAUAACAAUAGAAAGUUCUUUUUAAAAAAUAGAAGAGUUGCUAUGCAGGGACUUUUUUGGAAUUAAGUGCCCCAGAGAACCUAGAAAUGUGCUUUAAAACUUUUUGUUUCACCUGGCAGAUCCAAAAAAAAUUUGGAAGCUUUUGGUUGAAUUCCCUCAUUACUUGAAGUUGUUUUAUGAAAAUUGAAUAUAUAUAUCUGUUAGGUUACCAAGACUUAUGGUUAGCUAUCUUAAUGGCUAGUGAUAUAAGACCUUGUAACAAACCCUACCAAUGGAACUGACAGGAUUUUACCAGGGAGGAUAUUGCAGUACCUGUAAGAGGAAGGGAUACAAAUUGGCACUUCAUACAUUUGUGAGAACAAUUGCCUUUAAUGUGUCUAUUUGGUUUUCAUAAUAUUGCAGGCCUCUGCUCUUGUAAGAAGUUAGCUGCAGAACCCACAUGUGAAUCCUUGUAGGACUCUGGAGAAGAUCAAAUGGGAGCUUAGAUGUGGAAGCUCUUUGGAAACCAAGAAACACUCUGAAAAUGAAAAGGGUAUCUUUUUUUCCUUUUCUCCCUUUACCAUAAAUUUCAUGAUGGCACUUAACAGAGCCAGUCGUUUUGGUAUUUAAAAAAUGUUUGGUGAAAUAAUUAGUUAUUGGUUGAAUGAAUGAAUUUAUAAGUGAAUACAUGAAUUAAACAAAGGUAUGGAGUAGGAAAGCACAUAAUAUGAGCAGAGAAUAAGGGAUUCUAUUUGGAAGCAUGCACUAGAACUGGAUGUUAGGGAUGUGAAUGUGGCUAGCUGGAAUGGGUCUGUGGUUCUCACAAUGUGAUCUGUUGACCAGCAGUGUCAAUACCACCUGUUAACUUGUUAGAAAUGCAAAAAGAAUUAUGAAUUUGAAACUCAGGGUGGGACCCAGCAAUCUGUUUCUCUCUAAGUCAUUCUGAUGCAUAGCAAAGUUUUGAGAACCAUGACUUUGUAUUAAGGUGGGGAGUUUGGAAAUUAUUUUUCUGUAAGUUCGGUGCUAAUGAAGAUUUUCAACUGUGGGUGGACAUAAUCACAGCCGUAUUUCUAGGAUGAUGAGGCAGAAGGUUGUACCUACAAUAUCUAUGACUUCAGCAUUAAAAGGACAAUUAGAAGUACUGGAAAACACACCGUAUUUGCCAAGCUCCAGAAAUGAAGAUUUUGUUUUUACCUAUUUCCGAAUAAUAUCCCCAUACUUACCUAAGAGGCAAAGCAGAGCAAGCAUUGCUCCCAGGCACUGGGGAAACCCACUUGGUCUGCAGAGCCCAGGCAGGAUGAGAAUGUUUAUGUGAAAAAAGUAAAUGAGAGCGGACUGUCAAAUACGGCCCCAACCUUUCUGCAGAGAGAGGAGUAAGUAAGCCUUUAGUCCUGACCAACUGUGGGGAAACAUUAAAUGGAACCUUCCAAAUUGGUUUAAAGUGGGCAGCUAAGCCUAUGCCAAGGACUAAGCCAACUGCACUGGCUACAAACACACCUGUGUCUUUAGGGCUGGUGGAUACAAAUUUGCCAAAGGAGAGCACACUACAUGGAGGAAAAAUGAAGAGCCGCAGGGAAACAUUUAUCCUAAAGGGGAAAGAGUCAAGACAGAGAUAUCAUGGGUCAGUUGGGAAGGAGAUGGAGGGGAGAGGCAGGAGGUGAGCUGUUCAGAUUGCUAGAAUGACCAAUCCAGAUGGCUAGGAUGACCAGUCAUCCUGGUUUGCCCAAGAGUGAGGGAUAGCCCACAUCAUAGGAUUUCCAGGACAAUCCUUGUCAAAGCGGGACAAUUAGUCACCUUAAGACUCUGCCCUUUCACCUGUGUUCAAGACCUGGGGAGAAGGCAUAAUAAAAAUAGAAAAAAUCACUGCUGUCAACCUCCGCUUCUCAAAAUAUUGUCCAGAAACUAGCAGCAUAGGCUUCACCUGGGAGCUUGUUAGAAAUGCAGAUACUCAGGCAUCCUAGACCUACUGAAUCAGAAUCUGCAUAUUAACAAGAGCUCUGAGUGAUUUGUAUGCACAUUAGAGUUUGUCUCAAAAGAUCUUGUGGCAUCCCACAGUAAAUAAUGGAGCACAAGUGGCAGAAAUAAUUUCCUCUGGGCUGUAAUAUGGCUAAUAUCCAGGUUGAUCAGAUACUAAGCUAAAACCAGAUCAACCUUGCCUGGGAAGGACGCAACCUAGGGAUGGAGAGCAACCCAGGCAGAGAGGGAGAAAGAGGCUGACACAAAUUAGCCAAGAGGGGACCCCCUGAACUAUUAAUAGUAGUAGUAUUUGUAGGGAAAGUGAGAAAAGCCAGCAAGCCAGCAAUUGUAUGGUAAGAAUAAAGCUAGAGAAAUUAAUGUUGCCAGUACUGUGACCCUAUUUUUACCACUUCUAGGCUGAUGUGGGCUGGGAAAUGGGUUAUGCUUAGAAAUGUGGAGCCUGCCAAGUGUGGUGGCUCACACCUGUAAUCCUAGUACUUUGGGAGGCCGAGGAGGGCAGAUAACCUGAGGUCAGGAGUUCAAGACCAGCCUGACCAACAGGGAGAAACCCUGUCUCUACUAAAAAUACAAAAUUAGUCUGGUGGUGGAUGCCUGUAAUCCCAGCUGCUCGGGAGGCUGAGGCAGGAGAAUCGCUUGAACCCAGGAGGCGGAGGUUGUGGUGAGCCGAGAUCACACCAUUGCACUCCAGCUUGGGCAACAAGAGUGAAACUCCAUCUCAAAAAAAAAAAAAAAAAAAAAGGAAAGAAAGAAAUGUGGAGCCACAAGUGGUAAGCUUGUAGCGGUAAGCUUGUAGAGAAAAAUCCAAAAUGAUCAUCCACUAAAAGUGUUCAACUCCAGAUCUUGGCCUCAUCCACUUGCAUAUCAUUCAAAUACAGUGUGCAAAGAAUAGUUUUCUUUCUUUUUUCUACCUGGUCUGAUCUUCAUGGGCUUCAGCUCUGCAGUCUAGCAGGGAUAAUUGACACUUAAUUAAUAGUGUUUCAUUCUCCUCUAGCUUGAACAUAUUUCUUUCUCUUUCAACAUUGAAGCCAGUAGUUCUAAAAAUCAAACAUGCAAACAUGCAUCAGUCACCUGGAGGGCUUGUUAAAACACAGGUUACUGGGUCUGCCCUCAAGGUUUCUGAUUCAGCACAUCUGAGGUGGAGCCCUAGAAUUUGCAUUUCUGAGUUCCCAGGUGAUGCCGACAUUUUGGUCCACAGGCCACACUUUAAGAACCUCUGAUUCAAACUAUUCAGAGUUUAUUUCAUAUCCAAAAGUGAUUAUUUAAAAAGUAUCUUAGAUUAAUGCUCCUCAAACUGAUUGAUUUUUCCAAUCAUGUACCAAAUACAUAGUCCUAUUUCACAUGACCAGUAUUCAGCUUUUGCUGCAAGCAACUCACCAUGCCAGUUCCACACACCUGAACAGGUUAUAUCCUGUUUAACAAGAUCAGCCCACUGAUCACAUACUAGGAUGUCAUGGCAAUGUCAAUUUAUGAUAGAAGUUUCUAAACAUGAACUUUCAUCUGUAUUUAUCUCACCCCCGAACAGGAACAGUUUGUGGACUUGCGCUGGCCCUUGGACCACACUUCGAGUGACAUUGUUAUAGAUGACACGGUCUCUUAUAGGAAAAUGCACAGUCUUUCUUAGAUUCUCUACCUCCCUCUUCCAUCUCAUUCCCAACAUAGAUCUGGGUACAUGAGUGGGGUCUUAUUAUAAUCUUGUGACACCCUUGGAUCAUGCACUACCCUCUAAAUAAUCAAUAGUUUCUACUAUAGAGAGGCUCAAUUUAUCUUCUCCCUGGAAUUGGGACCACUGAAAUAUAACUAGAACCCAACUGAUCUUUUGAGAUGUUGUGUGCUUGCCCUUACUGCUACUGCCGUAGUUCUGAACAUUUCCCCAAGCAUCAAAAAGGCCCCAUGGCCUCUUUUCCCCUAGACCUCUGCCAGUCCACCAACACUCUCAGUGGGGAAGUAAGAAGCCUGGUGGAUCCUGCUUCCCACACAAAGGCCAUGAUGAGACAGAUGCUUUCUAAGUCCGAUAUAUCUACCCACUUUCUGCUGUCACCUCUGUACCUCCUGAGUCACAUGGAAUGUGGUGCUGAGCCAAAUGGUCAGUCUUCUAGAAGCAGUGGAAUGUUGGAGGCAGCUUAUACCUUAGCUGAUUCUUAAAUUUUCAGGAAUUUUGUGAGCCAGUUUUUAAACACAGCCAUUGUUGAAAAUUAAACAAUAUAAACUUAUAAUCAAAUAUAUUAAAAAUAAAGAUAAUGCCCUCAACUCAUCACUUCCUAUUUAUUGUUUUACACUUUAGUACUAUCUAUGCUUAUUGUAUGUGUAUGGUGGAAAUACUACAUAAUGAUAUUUAAUGGUGUACUGCCACACAGCUCUUCACAACUCUGCAUUCAGUGACAUCACUUUGGUAGCUUGAAAUCAGCCAUGAUAGGAGUAUUUAUAUCUUGGAAAUUGGCAAAUAUUACAAAUCAGCAUUCCACCCUCCCUUACCUCCCCACCCCCCAGCCAGUUGUUAAACAUUUACCAGCAUGCAACCACCCAGAGCCUGCAUCUGGGAAAGUGAGCCACUAACCCAAUGACCUGUGAUAACCCUAUACAUAUCUAGCUGUUACUAAGCUGCCCUUCCCAUAACGGUCUGCCCCAAAAAGGUGUGUGUGCAGAGGAGAAUAAAAACUAAAACCCUAAGAUCAUCUUAUUUACUUGCCCUAUUUCUGCCUCUUUUCUCUCCCUGCCAUCUCUGGGGUCCAGAAGUAGAAGCUUUUUAUUGCCUCCGGAGUUUAUUCUUAUACAUCAAGGAUAAACAUUCAUGACCUAACAUCAUCUCUCUUGUUUUCUCCCGCCAAAGCUAUAAGGAUAGUCUAAUCAUGAAAAAACAUUAAACAAACUCAAAAUGGGGACAGUCUAUAAAAUACCUAACCAGUUCUCUUCAGAACAGUUAAGGUCCUGAAAGGCGAGGAGAGAAGAAGAAACAAUCACAACUUGGAGGACAUUAAUGCACUAAAUUUAAUAUGGUUUCAUAAGUUGGGCUGAAAAGAAAAGGACAGUAGAAAAGCUGGGAUAUGAGAAUACAGUCUAAGUGUAGUACUAAUGUUAAGUUUUUAAUCUCUAACUUGAUGGCAUGGUUAUAGAAAAUAGAAACAUUAGGCAAAGCUGGGUGAAAGGUAUACAGGAACUCUACUAUCUAUACAACUUUUCUGUAAACAUAAAAUUAUUUCAAAAUAAAACUAAUAUAAGAAAAAAACAUGGCCGACAUAACAGAUAGAAUGGAUAUCUUCUCUAGUCUAUGAAAAACCCUGUGUCCUACAUUCACUUGCUUUGUGAUAUAAUAAAAGGGGGAAAGGAAGGGAUGAUAGAAACAUUAUUCCUCUUAAUAAACUUGGAUUUUAAAAUCUUUUAUCUUUUCACAGCAUAAAACAUUCCACUUAGGAUGCUAUAUGUUGAGCAUUAACUUUCUCUUUUUCUUUAUAGUCUUUCUGUAAUAGUUCAAAUCCUGCCCACCCUGAGGGUGGAUGUUUCUAGAUGAUGAAGGAGGUCAUAAACAGAGAGUAGAUUAAUAUAAUUAUCUUUAUUUCAUGUCUAUUUGCAAAUGGGCCAUUGUUCACAUAGUUGUCUCUCUUUCUAAAUGGAAGAAUAGUUGGAGUUGGGGGUGGGGAAAUACCAGAACUGAGAGGAGUAAAGGUGCUUCAAGACAAUGCUUCUUAAACUUUGGUUUUGUGUUUGCAUCUCUUGGGGAUCUUGUUUAAAGUAGGUUGAGAUUCAGUAUGUUUGGGGAGGGGCCCGUUAAUCUGAUUUUAUAAAAAGUUCCUAGAUGAUGCCAUGCUGCUGGUCUCUGAGAAGCAAGAGUCUGGGGUCCUUUCUAAAGUGUUUCCUCUCUCCUCUAUACAGUCAGAAAAGGAAAGUGCUUACUGGUCAGAGAUUUAAAAGACAUAGGAGAUAUACCACACUUCUAUAAGACCAGAAACAAAAACAAAGAAAGAAGAAACAUAAUAACCAAAAUAUGACAUUAUUGCACACAAUGAGAUGCAGUAAAAGAUGGACUACUUAGGCAUUCACUGGACAUAAGUGAAGCUGCCUUUGGAGUUUAAUUUUAAGUUCUCAGUAACUCACUGUAUUUAGUCAUAUCGUUUCACAUACAGACAAAAUUCCUUCUCUACUAAGAAGGAACUAAAGCUCUCAGAAUUACUGAGUUGCACAGUACCAAUUUACAUGAAUAUUUUUCUUCCUCUAAAAGUUUGUAAUGACUAUGGUUCCUGGAAAAUAAUAUUUCAUUUUUUCAAUUCAUACUCUUAAUCUACCAAAAAAACACUCUUCCAAAAAUAUAAGCUAGAAAAACAGGUAAUUUGCUCAUAUCAUAGAGACAACUCAUACCAAUAAAAAAAUACAUUUUAAAAUUUGGAAAAUUACAAUGAGAGAAUAAAGCAUUUUGCAUGCAGAUGUGUUAUGUUUUUACUCCACAAUAUUGGGAGCUUCCAAAGUGUAACAUGCAUUUACAGAGCCACUCUCUUAGCAUUUAAACUGGGAGGCAUUUUUCGAGAAGCAUGAGUCUUGCUCAGCGGUCCUGUAGCCACUCUAGCAAUCUCACACAGUACAUGACUUAUAAAUAUUGUAUGUGCUUGAUGGAAGUAGACCUGGCUUUGCUAAUCACUUACCAGUUCUUUUGCCCAGU
rnacentral:lncRNA from 10 species